UUCAGAAACAUGCUCAGAGACUUUUAAAAGCAAGGGAGGCAGCACGUUGUUUCAUUCAAUGAAAACAAAACAAAAAAAGGAAACAACAAAUCUUCCCUGGAAGAUCACUGUAUCAGUGCAAUAAACCUCAGGGCUGCCGUAACUUAAACCCUUCUCAACUGUGUGUGAGUUUGUUAAAGGAUUAGUUAAAGUUAAUGAGUGCUUGCCCACAAACUCUUAUCUUCAUAACUAAUGCACCAGCACUUGUCUCAGAGCAUUAGAGUAACAUUGCAUUAGCAAACUGUGAUUUAUUAGGCUACAAAGCAAUGUAACAAUUGCCUAGAAUUGAUUGUUUUUUUUCCUUAAAAGAAGGUGCAGCCAUGGUAUCCAAAUCAGAGCCCCUGCUCAGGGACAUGAUUUAGUGGAUGGUUGUUAGAGUUAGGGUAGUGUGGUUAGUUCAUGGUUGGACUCGAUGAUAUUUAAGGUCUUUUCCCACCUGAGCGAUUCUAUGAUUCUGUGAUUCUAUACCAUCUAGAGCAUGCUGGAUUUUACAACUGUAUGUAAAAAUGCACUGUCAAUUUACAUGAAUGUCACAGGUGGUGUCAAAAUUCAUUAAAAUGAAGAUGGGGCAAACUGACAAACUGCAUAUCUGUAAGUCUGACCAGGGAGAAGUGUAACAUAAACUCUAAUGGUACAGGGCAGAAACUGCAAACAAAAAGUGCUUAAGUGGUGUGGUGUGUCAUUGCCUCUUUCUGCCAUGUUUUAUACCAGAAUAGCACAGUUGAAUUGAACUGGUAAGACAGAAAAUGGAGCUAUAUUCCACAGGCGCCCAGUGCACAUAGAACUUCUUAAGACAAACUCACUUUGACUUGAGUCAGUUUUGCAGGCUUAAAUUAAGUAGAGGAUUAUUUUGUAGUUUAACAUCUCUAUGUUGCAAUCAGGCCUGGAGAGUGUCUCUCAAAUGUCUGAAUCUCUGGAGCCAUCCUCAAUCAAUGUGCCUGCAGGAGAGGCAGUUAAGUACAGAAUGCUGCUCCCUGGGCAACCAGGGGUUGGAAAGGGAGCAACGCUGACAGCCCUCAUUAGCAUUAGCAGUCAGCUCCAACAUGUCUGCUCAUAACUAGCUGCCAGUGUAAGUGCUUAUGUGAAGUACACACCAUACAAUAACCCAUUCCGUAGGACAGAGGUAAACCCCAAGAAAAGGUAAAAUAAACAAAGAUAUGAAAGUGAUGAAUUAUUUUGUCACUGCUUUUGUUUGUUGUGAUGUAAACAGUCCUCAAGUAGUUUAAAUGCACUGCUUUGCUAAGUAGUUUGAUAUUUAAUGGUUGUUUUUGUGGGUUGGGCUAUUGACUAAGUGUAGUCUCUGGAUGUGCUGCAAUUGCUGUCUGAGAGAAAGAUUAAUUCCUACGUAUAGCUUCUUCAUACUGUACAAACCAUGGUAACAGGUAAUUGGGGUCAACUUUGGUUGCCCUAUUGAAAAUUUUAAUGAGAGCUUUGAGUAAAGGCUUCUUUCUGAAUCUCUUGUAAAAAUAAGUUUACAGCAAACCUAAUAAAAUAGCAGGCAGCAUGAAAGUUAAAUCACAAGGGAAAGUAUGAGAGAGCUAAGUUUCUGAAAGUUUUCCAAGAAUAGAGUGGAGUUAUAAAGAAGAGGACUGCACUAGCCUCAUAUAUAGUCAGGUAAAACUAUUCCUGAAGAGGUGGAAUAUAUUUAACUUAAAAUUUGUGCAUACUUCUGGAGAGUUCUGCUGCUUCAGUGGUGGUUAUGAAAACAGGUUCUUAAAUAGGCAGCAUGAGGUCUACUGAUAAACUCAACAACAGGCAUUUUUUUUUUUUCUAUUGCAGAGAUGAGACCAAACCUGGUAUUUUUAAAUUACAUGUAGUAGAUUGAAGGGCAUAGGCAGGUAGAUACCUACAUCCAUGGCUGGCUGUCUUCCUUCUGUCGUAUCAUCUUUUAAGCAGUAGCAGCAGUUUGGGAAAAAGAAAAGAAAAAAAAAGAGCUUUUCUUCUUUUGGGAAGAGAGAACUAAUAAAUGAGCUCUUUCUGCCUUCCUAAGUGUUAGGAAUGCUUUCAAAGCAUUCAGGGCAGAGGUGUGGCCCAAGGGGAUCAAGGGCUUUCAGAAGAUGGCAGUGGCAUGCAGCCAUCUGUGAGCACCAGAGCCCUCGAGCUGCAGUCCUACAGCCCAGCUGAGAAGUGCCUCUGCCAGCAGUGCUUUGCUUCUGAGAGACAUUUCCUUUAGGACUUCUGUGUCGAGAUUAAAGCUUUUUGCACCUUUCAUCUCAGCUUGCAGAGCUGCAAAGAAUUUGUAGUUAAGACUCUAAACUGCCUACAACGCUGGAAAAUAUCAGUUCUUCUGAGCAAUUUUAAUGCAACUUCCUAGGGUGCCAGUGUUGCCACGGUGAUGAUAUAGUAGAGCAGAGAGUGGUGAAAUAUUGGAAUAUGUAUUUUGGGGCAGAUGGCCUGCAAAAUUGCACUUAUUGUGUUUGCCCCUUAUAAAUUAAUUGUUGUUUUAGAGCAAGUGGCACUUUGACUGCUUUUGUGUAUGUCUGUGCUUUUCUUAAUGUGAGCUACAGGAACUUCAGACCUGAUACUGCAAACCUGCUUAGAUGGAAAUACACCCCUGUUUUGCAUUUAAUUGCACUGAGUGUGUAAAUGAGAAGGCGUAUUUGAAGAGAAUGUAGCAUCUCAGGAGGUGUACAGACCAGCUACCAGCAUGAAAUCGAAAUUCAUGGGCAGCGUCCAGCAACAUCAGGAUACCUUGUGCAUGUGUGGUCAGUUAAUUUCUGUGGAGUAUAUCUGUCGAGAUGUAGGAGAACCAGAUUUUUUGUAGAAUUCCAGAUCCACCAUACAACUUGACGUUCAUCCAGAAAUCCUAUAUACAGUUCAUGGGGAAGUGUCACAGAGGGUGAUGGAAGGGCUAAAAACACAUUAGUCUCCUAGUAAAUCUACUUGGAAAAUGGUUAGGCCUCAUCUGAUCUGCAUAGCUCAGUACAGCAGUUCCCUGGGCUGACUGGAUUUGCAGUGCCUCCAAAUGCAAACACAGAUUAUCACUACUGUCUCAGGGGCUCAAAGCAGAGGCGCAUUCAAAUUCUUAGUUCUCAGUUGCAGCCAGUUAGGGUUUUUUGUUUUUUUUUUUUUUUUUUUGGAUUGUAUUUAUUUUCUUUUCUAAACUUUAAUAACAUUGAAAUUUUGAGAGUUAAUCACCCAGGUUGAAUUCCUGGAAGUUUUCAUUCAAGAAUGACUCAAGAAUGUUGAUGCUGUGAAAUCAGACCUGCAAUCUAAACAGAGCUCAGUUUCAAGCAUCAGAAGGGAACCCUUCACAGGGAAGGCAGCCCAGGUGUCCAGACCCAGCAAGCACAGCGCUUUCAUCAGCUUUAUGGGAGCAUGACCAGCUGCAGGUCAUACAUGUCUGUCUGGGUAGGUGUGUAGACAGUAACAGGCAUUUGUUGGAUUGACAGGCAUAGUUGAAACAGCAUAGCAACACGGUCAGCUUCAUUUGUUUUCUGCCUUCUGAACAUGGCUAGGAAUAAUAUGUAGUUUCAAGCUUUGGGGUUGUACUUUUAGCUUGGUUUUUUGCUUGUUUGUUUGGAUUCUUUUAACGGAGGAAAACAACAUUUGUACAGUGUAGAUACAUUUUGAAAAACCACAAUAAAAUGAAAGAAAAUCACAAUAAUUAUAAAGACUGACUAAAGGUCAAAGAUAGGGUUGGUCAUUGUCAUCACCCAAGCUUGCUCUGUAGUUUUCCUGGGAUGCGUCACAGCUCCUCAGACUUACACUGGCUGCUAUUUGUCCUGUUUGCGUGAUUGUCUUUCUCCAUGUCUCUUUCUUUUUUUAGAAGUCCUGAGUCCGCAGCUGCACAAAGAAGUGACAGACAGAUAAACAUUAAGACUUUAUAUUGAACUUAGGGUUGUUUUUGAUCUCUAGUUAGGCUGAAGUAAUCAGACCGAGUGUGGAACUUCCAAUUUUUUUGAGUUUUGUUAUAGUGCCAUUUUUACCAUUUUUCAAAUGUGUUUUUGGACUGUAAUUCCAGGAAAACAAAGUCUGCAGUUCCUCUGUCAUUGGCUCAAGUGAUCUGACUGGAGAAUCCAUAGAAGUAACUUAGCAGCUAGUACAAAAAAGCACACUUAGGCUUGUUCAGACUUUGGUGUAUGGGCUUUGGAUUAUGACGUAGUUAUUGGAUUCAACGUAAGCUUGUGAUCAGACAGUAUUACCUUUACAUUUCUCUGUUCCAUUUAUGAGGAAGUACACUGAAGAUCAGGCUGUGAGGACACUUUAGUUCAGUGUUUAUUGAAAUAAGAAAAAUACCAGCAAAAAUUUUAUCAUUCUGAUCAAACCAGGAUUAUGGUAAAAAGUAAUUGGUUAUAUGUGUUACCCAUCCUGUAUCAUUGUAAGAUUAUGUAGAAUGAAAGCAAGAAUUUUAAAGAACUUGAAUGACAGUGAGUAUAGAAACUCAUAAACCAAUUUAAAUCUUCAAACAAAUAAAGGGUUGUUCUGACAUGCUCCAUUCUGAGCAGUAAUCAAGUAGUACUGCAACUAAUCACUCUGACACUAAGAUCUAUGCAAGAGAAAAGUUAUGCAGGAUACCUCCCACCUCCAUCCAGAGCCAAAAAGCUUGGGAAAGAGCUGAGCAUUGGGACAUCCUCACUUGUGCAACAGCAGCCAGAAGCUGGAAAAAAAGAAAAUGUUGGCACAAAGUGUGAAAGUCAAACUGAAGGUUCAACAAACAAGAGCUUGCAAGUGAAAGCAGGAUCUCCACCAAUCACAGGGCUGAUACAAAAUGGAGAGAUGAAGCUGUUGAAGUGUGGGCUGGCUCUCUGAUGGGAAGGCUGUAUCCUUUCUACCCAUGCUUCACUAGAAGAGCCCGUGGUGUUUUCUGUAGAUUGUUCUAUCCGUUUCUUAAAUGUCUCUACUCUAAUGAGGUUGUCUUUGGCCCAAUUAAGUGAAAAGUUUCUUCUUUAAGAAGAAGUCAAAGCCAACAAACAAGAAAACCAGCAACUAAAACCCACAAUAAUAGGAUUUAAAAACAAAACCAAAUGAGUUUAUGGUAACAUUCUGGCUACUAACCUUCCUGUACACAGAUUCUUCUGAUUUAUUUUUGGAAUAUGGCACUAAGCUCUGGAUUUCUUCAUGAAUGCUUUGAGAAUUUUACUUUCCCUGUCCUUUAUUACAGGAUACAACGUGCCACAGCUCUCAGAUCUUGUUUCCUUUCACUUUCUACCUUCAUUUGAAAGACUUUGUCCUCCUGGCUCUUCUGCACUGUAUUCCUUGGCUGUUUACAAUUGUUUCUGUGUGCCAAGACCUUUUCACAUAAUGUAACUCAAUCCAUGUGUCUACUUCAUAAAAUUCAAUACAAAUCUCUGGCACAUGCUCUCUCAACAUCCGCUGCUACUUCAGCAUUUUUUGUACCAUGCAUUUUUUACAAGGCUUUUGCAGCUCUGCAUUUUGGCAAUCAGAAAUAAAAGCAGCUUCUUUCCUGCUAUAGAUUUCCAAAAAAGUUUUGGAGUCUUGGUUUCCAGAUUUUUCAUUCAAAGCAUGAUGAUAAUCUGGCAGUUAAAAGUUUUGUUUUCCUAGUUCCUCUUGUUUUCCACGUGAAAGCUAAAGGUUUGAAGAUAAAUAUGCUGAAAAGGAGAAUGCUAAUAGGAAGCUUCACAGGAGGUGUUUGCUAUCAGUAGAUAGACUGAAAAAAAGGGAGUACAAGGAGUAAAUAGAUGGAAACAGAAAGUGAAUUUUGGUUGUGGAUGAGUAAAUAAAGAUGCAUUGAAAGCUGGCAAAAUGAGACUCACAGGACAGUUCCCCUUCUCACAGACCCGUUUCAUCUCAGAUAAGGGAAAUUAGAGCCAGGCCCACAGGUCUGCAAGAAAAAUUGGCCUAAUGUUACCUCUCCUGUGCCAGCUUCUGAACUGGAUCAUGAGGAGUCUGAGAUACACCAGAGCACACAGACCUGUCUGAAAAAAGCAGACUCAAACCUGUACCCAGGAUGACAGUUGCAGAGUUCGCUGGUACUGCCACAGCACCUUCAAUGCAGAUUGAUGCCAAUGGUGACAGCCCAGAGCUCAUCACAGACCCUGUCAGCCACUUUCAUGGGUGUCCUUUUUUUCUUAAGACAAAUGAAUGGGGAAAAACAGAAAACAAAAACAGACUGUCACCUCAUUCAUCAGGCUGGACUCUCAUCCAAGAUGUCAUUUCUCUCAAGCUGCUUGAGCCAUCUGCUCCUGCUAAUAUCCCAUUGAAAAUGAAGAAUGUAUUCAGCUGCUUCUUCUAUACGCAACUUUAUGCAGGUCCAAUACAAAUAUUAUGGAUAUUGUACCAGGAAAACUACAAUAGGGCACAAAAGGAAAACUGUGACCUAAGAACUCUGAGAAACAAAUGGGAAAGAAUGAAAAGUCUGAUCUUGUGACUCCAUUUGGAUUCUUCAUCCAGCACUGUGGAGAAAUUGCAUAGAAAGAGAUGAAGUUCCUGCUAUUGCUGUAGGAGGAAUAACAAUGUAACGGAGGAAUAACAAUAUAACGGAGAAGAACAAAGAAUAAUCUUAAGGUUAUGCCACAGGGAAUCAGCUGUGGUUCUCCUGCGCUAGAGGUGAGCAAGGUCACAGCCUGCACUUGUGAUUGAGCACCUGGGGAAGAGGCGUGACGAGCCCUAGGAGCACAGGUGCAGGCAAUUCAUCUGCACAACAGGACAGAUGCACCCUGGGUAAACCUCUCCCUCAUUUAAGGGCCAGCAGCAAGGAGGGCAGUAUCUAUUUUUGGAGAUCUUUGUCUCUGGGAAGUUUUCAAUGGAAAUUCAUUUGGAAUAAGCAAGCAAUGGAAAACUAAGGAAAGAGGAAGAAUGCUGUAAGAAAUUCUACUUCAGCUUCAAUGAGGAAUUCAGAAGAAAUCAAAGGACAAGGAAAAAAAGAAGAAUCACUAAGAAUAAGUGGAUGUGGAUGUGCCCCAUUGCUUGCAGACUAGGCACACGCUUGUGUAGAUGCGCCCCAUUGCAAGGUGCAACCUCCUGUGGACGUGCCUUUGUGUAGAUGCACCCUGUUGCUGUUGAGGCUCUCCUGUAGACCUUAAUAUGUUUCUGCCAGUUAUUGCAGUUAACAGCUUUACUUCUCACUGCUCAGUACUAUUGUGAAUUGGGCUUUAUUACUGCAUCCAAGUAACUGUUACUGUAACUUUAAGCUGUAUUAUAGUUUAUUCAUAUAUUUAUUAUUUUAUUAUAAUUCUCCUAAUGAACACUUAAAACUGUUGUUAAUCUACCCAAAAUCUUGUUUAUUCGGGCCUUUUAGAGCAUUUUCUGGAAAAUGUUUCAGUGAUGGGAUUGAUAAAAUACCUUGCUUUAACCAUUAUAGCUUUAUGUAAAAGACCCAAACCAGCCCUGCCCAAGGAAAUCUAGAUUGAAACGUACUACCAAAAACAACACCACUAUAUUCUCUAUUUCCUUCUAUUGCUUGAUGGAACAGAUCUUAAAAGUAUGAAGAAUCAUCAACACACACAGCAAAUACUGGAAAAUAUUAUACAAACUGUGUUGUUGAACCUGUAUUUUGCUCCUGGAGGUGGCCCUUUCAAAACACAGCUGAGUGUCUCUGCCAGCACUCGGUGCCAAGGCUGAAACUGCUUACUUUGUGCGUGUACUUGAGUUAAAAGUUUCCAGUACUGCUGACAUCUAGGAGGAUUUCUUUUCAGGAAGAAAUGCAAGAGAAAUCCUUAUUUUGGUAUUCCAUCUGAAAGAAGAGUUUUCAAACAACCAAAAAAAAAAACAGACACAAAUUUCUAGAGUUGGAAAUGUCUUUUUACAGAGUUCCUAAGGGCCAAGGCUCUACAUGAGUUCAAACUAACAGCAUCCCACUAUUAUCAGUUUUAAAUGAUGCUGAGUUUGUGGGUUACUGGUAUUAAUAACGUUUAGCCAAAAAGGAAACUACAGCUUAUAGUCUUAUGGCUCACUUAUGUGGUGCCAAACUCCUCAUUGAAUAUUUGAUCUUGCAGUCAAGAACUGAUUUCUGGUCACCACUCUCAGUGGUCAGAGGAUUACACAGAUGCAAAUGCCAGUCCCAAGGCUCUAACAAGGCAAAUAUUUUCAUAUAAGGUAAGGAAAAUGCAUAAGGUUUCCAUGAAAGGAAAUAAGCGUGCGCUCUUCCUAGUCACUGCUCCUAGCUAUAUUGACUCCUCGUCCACAAUGCUUUCAAAAUGUCUUGAAUCUUUUGAUAAGCACUUUCUUCAGAAAAGACAUUUCUGCUAAAAAGAUGAAUAAAAGCAACAUAGAAGGGUUUGUUUGCUUGUUUUAACUAUCUGUGGUUCUCUAUUGGAGGCUUUAUUUUCUGUUGCUACAAAAAAGCAGCGUUCAGUUCUUGGAAGGAUUAUCAAUUAUUUUAAAAAAAAUGGUGAAGAAAGAGCACAGGUUUUCAUGACCAAAUCUGGCAUGCUGAGUUUUUGUACUUCGAAGCACAAAGAGAAGAUGAUGUUUUCGUGUGCCCUCUCUUGUUCCCCUUCAU